rnacentral:rRNA from 1 species
CAGCCGCGGUAAUACAGAGGGUGCGAGCGUUGUUCGGAAUUAUUGGGCGUAAAGGGCGCGUAGGCGGUGCGGUAAGUCACCUGUGAAAUCUCCUGGCUCAACUGGGAGCUUGCAGGCGAAACUGCCGUGCUGGAGUGUGGGAGAGGUGCGUGGAAUUCCUGGUGUAGCGGUGAAAUGCGUAGAUAUCAGGAGGAACACCUGUGGCGAAAGCGGCGCACUGGACCACAACUGACGCUGAGGCGCGAAAGCUAGGGGAGCAAACAGGAUUAGAUACCCUGGUAGUCCUAGCCCUAAACUAUGGAUGCUUGGUGUGAUGGGUACCCAAUCCCAUCGUGCCGAAGCUAACGCGAUAA